rnacentral:tRNA from 1 species
GCGGGUGUGGCGGAACUGGUAGACGUGCUAGAUUUAGGUUCUAGUGCCGUAAGGCGUGGGGGUUCAAGUCCCUCCAUCCGUACCA